AUUGAACGCUGGCGGCAUGCCUUACACAUGCAAGUCGAACGGCAGCACGGGUGCUUGCACCUGGUGGCGAGUGGCGAACGGGUGAGUAAUACAUCGGAACGUACCUUAUCGUGGGGGAUAACGCAGCGAAAGCUGUGCUAAUACCGCAUACGCCCUGAGGGGGAAAGCGGGGGAUCGCAAGACCUCGCGCGAUUAGAGCGGCCGAUGCCUGAUUAGCUAGUUGGUGGGGUAAAAGCCCACCAAGGCGACGAUCAGUAGCUGGUCUGAGAGGACGAUCAGCCACACUGGGACUGGGACACGGCCCAGACUCCUACGGGAGGCAGCAGUGGGGAAUUUUGGACAAUGGGGGCAACCCUGAUCCAGCAAUGCCGCGUGAGUGGAGAAGGCCUUCGGGUUGUAAAGCUCUUUUGUCAGGGAAGAAACACCGGCUCUAACACAGUCCGGGAAUGACGGUACCUGAAGAAUAAGCACCGGCUAACUACGUGCCAGCCGCCGCGGUAA
rnacentral:rRNA from 1 species